rnacentral:sRNA from 1 species
UAUUUCAUAUAAAUUAUACGUUGCACUUGUAGUAAAAACACUAUU